GAUGAACGCUGGCGGCGUGCCUAAUACAUGCAAGUCGAGCGAACGGACGAGAAGCUUGCUUUUCUGAUGUUAGCGGCGGACGGGUGAGUAACACGUGGAUAACCUACCUAUAAGACUGGGAUAACUUCGGGAAACCGGAGCUAAUACCGGAUAAUAUUUUGAACCGCAUGGUUCAAAAGUGAAAGACGGUCUUGCUGUCAUUUAUAGAUGGAUCCGCGCUGCAUUAGCUAGUUGGUAAGGUAACGGCUUACCAAGGCAACGAUGCAUAGCCGACCUGAGAGGGUGAUCGGCCACACUGGAACUGAGACACGGUCCAGACUCCUACGGGAGGCAGCAGUAGGAAAUCUUCCGCAAUGGGCGAAAGCCUGACGGAGCAACGCCGCGUGAGUGAUGAAGGUCUUCGGAUCGUAAAACUCUGUUAUUAGGGAAGAACAUAUGUGUAAGUAACUGUGCACAUCUUGACGGUACCUAAUCAGAAAGCCACGGCUAACUACGUG
rnacentral:rRNA from 1 species